UUCUCGGUACCAGGAAAAACAAAACAAAACCUAACACCAUGUGGCAAAGCCUAUGCUGGCCUUAAGGCACUUAAUAAGACAGUUGGUUCCUCUCCCUCUUUCUCUCUCUCUCCCUCUCCCUGCCUGUCUCUGUCUUACACACAUUCCAGCGGUGAACAGAAGACAAUGAACAAACGAAUGAGAUCAUUAUAGAGGGUGUUAAAGUGCUGUGAAGGGGAAGAGCAGUGGGACAUGAAGAAGGGCAACUGGAGGCGGGGCAGGGCACAGGUGGCCUUACCAUAGCCAAGAAAGCUUCUUUGAGGAAAUUGGUUUGAAACACAGAAAAGAAUAUUCCAGGUACAAGAAACAGCAGCUGCAAAAGUCCUGCAGUGGGAAACAGAAUUUCACCUGAGUCCGCUAAGACGCUAAGCUUUCUGAGGGCAGUUACCGAGGUCUCUUCGACUCCUGGACCCUACGUUCUGGGUGAGAUGAACAGAAGAGGGGAUUCAUACUUGCUGAAUCAGCCCCCUCCUCCCCUAGAACGGCACUGGGAGUUGCUGGCUUCUUCCCAUCAGCCCAUCUGCCCAGUUUAAUCUUAUUUCAGCUGGGGCCGGGGAUUUAGCUCAGUGGUUCCGCCACCUGCCUCGCAAGCUCAAGGACCCAAGUUCGAUCCCCGGUACCAAAAAGAAAAAAAAUCUUAUUCCAGCUAUUCUAAAGCCCCCUGCAACAGGUGGGUCUCUGCCCACUCCUGUUCUUUUCCUGGGGAUCCCAGUCAUUUCCUUAGGCAGGAGGGAAAGAUCGGGCCCCUGUAGCAUCUGCCAGUCUAGAGCCUGGGCUGCAGAAUUUGGUAUUUGAUCCCCAGGGCCCUGGGGGAAGGUGUGCUCGAGGAAGACUGCCCAAGUGUUUACAGGUUUAGGUCUUGGGGACCCCCCUUGGCCUGGGUCUCACUUCAGGAAGGCAACCUGGAUCCCUGUCCAAUCCCCCCUUGCGAAUACUUCCUACACUUGGAUACAUUUCCCACAGAGCCAACCGCCCCUGCUGCACAGCCCACACAGCUCCUCUCCCACACUCACCAUCCAGCUGCACGCGGCAUCUCCAUGGCAACCGGGAGGCCUGGUCCAUGGAUGUUAGAAAUCAGUGCGGAAGGGGGAUCAGAAAUAAGGAGACUUGGAAAGAUUAAAAGCGUGCAGAAGGCAAGAACCUGUCUAACUUAUUCACUAUCACCGAAAAUGUUCCGUGAAUGAAUGGGAGGAAUGAUGCAGCCAGAGCCGGUUUGGGGGCAGAACCACACAACAUGUGUAAGUGUGACUGCCUGGAAAAUGUAACUUUCAAGGAGCCUGAGGUUGAGUGACAGUAAACAGAACCUUGGAGACCCCAGACAUCAUCAAGGGUUUGUGUGGAUUCAGCCGCAGAAGCCUGGAAACGGUGCAAGACGGAAGAGAGGGAGGGAUGCACACGGUCGGAAGAACAAACUGGAAGGCAAAAUGGCAAGUGGAGGAAGUGAGACUGAUUCAUCUGGGCCCAAAGAAUCUGUGACUUCCCUCAUGGGAAGGGCCCUCGGAGGUCACGGUCCAGACGUGGCAAAAGAGCUUCGUGAUGCGUGGUGGCCGACCGGAGGGCGUCCUGAGAACAGAGCGUCCAGUUACUAGUAACGCCUGCUGGUAGUGCGGGUGAGGAACGGUGGUGCCCCUGGUAGGAAUCUCCGUUGUAAGGCAACUGAGGAUUCUGGGGAAGGGAUUUGUCCAAGGUUCGUAUCACGAAUUGCAGGCAGAUCUCAACCCUCUUGCUGUCUCCGGAAACGCAGGCGGAACUUCAGACCAGGUAGAGGCAAGGGACCCUGGGACAUGAGGAGUUUAGACAGCAUAGGAAAACAGCAUAGAAGCAGAUGGGGCUGGGAUGUAGCUCAGUGGUAUAGCACCUGCCUGGCAAGUGCAAGGCCCUGAGUUCGACGGCUGGUACAAAAAAAAAAAAAAAAAUGGAGCAGACAGCCCAGGCUGGGGGAAGAUUACAGAAGCAUCAAAAACUGCACCAUCAAGCUUGGGAUUUAGUUCAGUGGUUCAGGUGCGUGCCUUGCUAGCUCAAGGACCCAAGAUUGAUCCCCGGUACCAGAAAAACAGAAAAACUGGACCCUGGGUUUCCACUGGUGAUCAGUUAGCUAGAUCUGCCCAGCAUCCUGUUACCUCUGCUGACCUCUUCCACCUCUGCCCUCCCCCAGGAGAAGAAGGGGCAGAGGUUUUGGCAGAAAGGCCCAGUGAAGGUGAGAAGGGGCAGUGGGCCUGGGGAACAGUGGCACCUCCGGGGCACUGCCCUGACUCGGUGGCAGCCCAGGAAAAGGAGGAGCCAAGAGCCGGGGAAGUGGUGGGCUUGGAGCACCUGUGUGCAGGUUUGGUGCGUGGGCCAAGGGAGAAGAAAGAUCCUCCAGGUGAGCAGAGCCGCAGGGCCAGGAUAAUGAUACCCCGACAAGGCCGCGGGCUUGGAGGGCAGCCCAGCUACCUCGCACCACCCACAGGAGGUGGGGUGCCGAGGAGGCCCAGGAUGCACAGCCUUGGAAGUUUGCUCAGAGGCCUUGGCCUCCUUCCUCUGUCUCCGCUGCUGUGCCCUUUACUUCCUUUCCCACGGUGUAGUAUCUCACUUUUUCUUUUCUCCCUCCCUAUUCCGCCUACCUCACCCUGGAGCUCCCACUGGGAGUAGAAGCGUGGAAGGGUAGGACCGGUUGUAACAGAGGAAGAUCUGGGAGCUGUUUUCAUUGGGAUCAUCUGCCUGAACCUGGAAAAGAAGUGUCCUGCGGGCAGAGACUCCGGUCAGGACACCAUACCCCGUGAGUCACAAGAGAAAACUGACCAGAGGCAAGCAGACCUCCUCUGUUGCUGGGAGGGCUCCCAGAUCCCCCAAGGGAGCCACUCUGUCUGUUUAGAAGGGACUGAGCUUCCUCACCUUGCCCCGAGAGCCCCAGCUGGACACGUGCCUGGAUCCCAUCAGACCCCAGCCUUACGGGGAUGGGGGUAGACAAGAAAGAAGUGCUAGACAUCCCCCAGCCACAGGGAUUCCACAGAAAAUGAUCACUGACCUUAGGACUAAGUAUUUUGCUGAACAGUUGUGUUGCUUCUUUGUUUGGUUUGCCACACUGGGAGGCUGAGCCUUACGACCGCUUAAACUACUUGGAAUGUGGUUGCAGAGAGGAGACUCGAGUUAGCAAGAGAAGAUGCCAGAUGACUGAGCACCUGGAUCCAGCUGUGCCUGAAGUCUAUCCCUGAAACUUUCCAGCAUAUGUCCCCAGGUCUCAUCGUAACUACUGUGUGCAAAACUUGAUGAUAAACAGAGAGACAGAAAAAAGGAACUGAGAGGCCAGGGGAAUGGACAGAAAAAGAAGCAAGAUCUAUCCUGUGCAGGGAAAAGGAAGAGACUUGCAAAGAAUGCAAACAAGAAGCAGAACUAGGAAUGGCCGAUUUGGUUCCUGCUGCCCGACUUUUACCCAAGCUGCAGAGUGAAGGCCACCAUGGUCACAGCCACAGUACAGCCAGAUUCCGCUGCUCAUCUGAGGGCUGCCCCUCGGAGCUUGGCAGCUGCCUUCGAGUGAGGGUCAGCAGGGGCCUCCUCCCGCAGGCAGGAGCUCAGCUCUUGCCUCUGCAUUACCCUUCAGAUGAGGCUGGUCCAACCUGCUCUACGUCUGCCUGUCUGACCCCCGCAUUGGGCAUGGAACCGAAGGGCCUCACGCACACUAGGAAAGGCCUUUAGUACUAAGUGACACCCGGCAGCCAGACCCGGAUCCAGACUAUCU